GACUCUAGGCGGUUGGAGCGGUGAACGCCUUUUAUUUUGCUCCCGGCAUAAACGAAUUGAUCUACUUGCCAUCGGACACAAAACGCGGACAGAAAACGUGGACAUCCCAGCUUCGCUCCGUCCAGGACAGGGGUGAUAGCGAUUGAAGAGAGUAUAGGCCGUCCUCAACGCGAUCGAAGCCCAUGAUGAAAGCAAGCAAAGACUCUUGAAUCAAGCACGGAUCCUGGAUCGAGCACGUACGGUUUGCGAAGGAAAAGGAAAAUUAAGCAUGGAAGAAGUAGUAACUCGAGGAUACUAGUAAAUAUUCUUUUUCAAUGAAAGUCCCACCAAUAUAUGGAGUAACAUGGCCUUGGUUCCUACGACUUCUACCUCCUGAAAGCCAUGUAGUUGGGCAAUCUCAUUGUGA
rnacentral:sRNA from 2 species